rnacentral:tRNA from 1 species
GUUAGAGUGGCAGAUUCUGGUUAGUGCAAAAGACCUAAGCCCUUUUCAAAGAAGUUCAACUCUUCUCUCUAACU